UUUAAACGUAGCCAUAAGUUUAAAGUGUCCAAUUUGAAUCAUCCAUUUUAUUUGAAAUUUUUUAUGAUAAUAAUAAUAUUAUUAUUAGAUGAUAAAAUAAUAAUAAUAUGUGUGACUUAUGUUUUUUUUUUUAAAAAAAAUUUAAAUAAGACGGACGAUUAAAAUCGGACACGAAAACUCAUGGCUACGUUUAAA
rfam:Oryza sativa (indica cultivar-group) chromosome 4, whole genome shotgun sequence.